rnacentral:rRNA from 1 species
UACGGAGGGCGCAAGCGUUGUUCGGAAUCACUGGGCGUAAAGCGCACGUAGGCGGAUUGGUCAGUUAGAGGUGAAAUCCCGGAGCUCAACUCCGGAACUGCCUUUAAUACUGCCAGUCUCGAGUCCGAGAGAGGUGAGUGGAACUCCUAGUGUAGAGGUGGAAUUCGUAGAUAUUAGGAAGAACACCAGUGGCGAAGGCGGCUCACUGGCUCGGUACUGACGCUGAGGUGCGAAAGCGUGGGGAGCAAACAGG